rnacentral:lncRNA from 1 species
GUAUAAAUAAAACCCUAUGAGAGAAUAUUGGACAACCUACAUGAAAUUGAGAAAUUCCCAGAAACAAAACAUUUAUCAAGACUAAAUAUGAAGAAGUAGAAAAUCUGAAUACAGUUAUAACUAGUAAAAAGAUGCAAUCCAUAAUAAAAUAUUUUCCAACCAAGAAAAAAUUUGAUUUGAUAACUUCGCAAAUGAAUUCUCCCAGACAUUUAAGGAAUAACUAAUAACCAAUUCUUUGAGACUGUUUCUAAAAGUUUGAAGAGGAGGGAAUACUUCCAGACUUAUUCUAGGAGGCCAGCAUUGCCUGGAUAAUAAAACCAAACAAGGCCACUAAAAGAAAACUAUUUGCCAUAACCCCUUCUAACCAUUGAUGUAAAAAUCCUUAACAAAAUAUUAGCAAACCAAAAUCAAUAGCAUGAUAAAAGGAUCAUACAUCAUGACUGAUUUAUUUCUGGAAUGCAAAUAUAGUUCAGUAUCCAAAAAUUAAUUGUUAAAAUAGCACAGUAACAGAAUGAAGAAAAAAAUCCCACAUGAUUUUUUUAUGUGAAUUGAUGCAGAAAAAGCAUUUGUUAAAACUCAACAACUCUCAUGACAAAAACACUUAAAAAGCUAUGAAUAUAAGGAAACUACUUCAACAAAAUAAAAACCAUCUAUGUAGAGCCCACAGCAAACAUCAAACUGAAUGGUGAAAAAAUGAAAACUUUUCCUGUAAGAUCAGAAACAAGACAAAGAUGCUUACUUUUCGCCAUUUCCAUUUGGUAUAAUACUGGGAAGUUCUAGCCAAAUUAAUUAGGCUAGGAAAAGAAAAGGCACCCAAAUUGGAAAGGAAGAAUUAAAAUUUUCUGUUAACAUAGAAAGUUCUAAAGUUUCCACAAAAACUGAUAGAACUAAUAAAUUAAUUAAGGAAAUUAGCCAGGUACAAAAGUCAAUACACAAAAAUUAGUUGUAUUUCUAUUCACUAAAAAAGAAAAAUUUUGAAAAGGUCAUUAUGAAAACACUUCCCUUUAUGAUGAUAUCAAAAUGACUAAAAAGCUUAGGAAUUAACCAAAAAAAAAAAAAAAAAAAAAGAAAGAAAAGAAAGAGAGAGAAUUGUACAAUGAGAAUUACAAAACAUUGCUGAAAGUGGAAACAUAUCCCAUGUCCACGAUUAGAAGAUUUAAUAUUUUUUUUGAGGUGUCGGUACUUACCCAGCAUCAUCUACAGAUUCAGUCCCUAUCAAGAUUCUAAUGACAUUUUUUGCAGAAAUGGGAAAACACAGUUUCCGAUUCAAAAUGGAAACUAAAGGGACCCUGAAUAGCUAAAAUAGUCUUGGGGAAAAAAAAAAAAGAACAAAGCUUACACUUCCAGAUUUCAAAAUUUACUGUAAAGUUGCAAUAAUUAAAAAGUGUGGUACUGCUAUAAAGACAAACAUGAAGACCAGUAGAAUGAAAUAGAGAGUCCAGAGAAAAUUCUCACGUAAGUGAUCAAAUGAUUUUCAGCAAGAGUGCAAAGACCAUUCAAUGGAGAAAAGCACAGUUUUUCAACUGUGUUUGGGGAAACUAGAUAUCCAUAUUCAAAAGAAUCAAGUUGUAACCUUAUCUAACACUAUGUGCAAAAUUUAUUCAAAAUGGAUCAAAGUUGAAGUUUUACCUAAAACUGUAAAACUCUUGGGAGAACACAAGAAUAGUUUAAUGACAUUGAAUUUGUCAAUGAUGUCUGAAAUAGGAUAUCAAAGGCACAGAUGUUAAAAAAUAAAGACAAGUUUUUCUUCAUGAACAAUUUUACAAUUUUUGCAUCAGAACACAUCAACAGAGUAAAAAGGCAACACACAGAAAGGGAUAAAAUAUUUACACAUCAUUUAUCUGACUAGAGACCAAUAUCCAGAAUAUAUGGAGAACUCCUAAAACUUAACAAGAGCAAAAACCUGCUUUAGAAAUAUUAUAGGACUUGAGUAGACAGGUUUCCAAAGAAGUUAAACAAAUGGCCAAUAAGCACAUGAAAAGGUGUUCAACAUCACUAAUCAGUAUGAAAAUGCAAUUAAAAACAAUUAUGAGAUAAGUACCUCACCCUAAUUAGUAUGGCUACUAUAAAAUAAAAUUUAAAAAAGAAAGAAAAUAAGAGGUGUUGGCAAAUAUGUGUAGAAAUUGGAAUUUUUGUGCACUGUUGGUUGAAAUAUAAAGUGGUACAAGCAUGGUGGAAAACAAUAUAUUAGUUCCUCAAAAUAUGAAAAUAUCAUCCAACAAUAUCACUUCUGGUAUAUACUUAAAAUAAUAGAAAGCAGGAGCUCAAAGAGAUGUUUGUAAAUUGGUGUUCAUAGCAGCAUUAGUCACAGUAGCUAAAAUGUGGGAGCAACCCAAGGGCCAAUCAAGGGACAAAUGGAAAAACAAAAUGUAUCUACACACAGUGGAAUAUUAUUAAACCUUUAAAAGGAAGCAAAUUCUGACAUGUGCUAAAACAUGAUUGAACUUGAGGACAUUAUGACAAAUGAAAUAAGCUAAUCACUGAAAGACAAACCCUUCUUUAUACCACUUACGUAAGAUACUUGAGUCAAAAUCUAGAGACUGAAAGUUGAGUGGUGGUUGCCAGAGGCUGGGGGUAGGAAGGAA